ACAGAUCAACUCCAACUUUCCUGCUUUAAACAAAUGAUCCUUAGAUAUUUCCUCAGAAUUAGAACUUGAUUCAUUCAGCUUCACAUCCAGGGAUGUUGAUUGUUUUCUGUAUAAAAAUGUGGAACCAAGUUUACACGGUAAAGUCCUAAAAUCAGUAACUGACGUCAAGUGGGUCCAUGCGGAUUUAUUAUGCACAUCCUACUGUUGGUUAUGUCACAACAGAGAAUUUGAAUUAUUCUGACAAAAACUGUUGGUUGUCGUGGCUGAAUUCCACUUGUAAAGCUGCUUUUACUUUCUGUUUUUACAUUCUGAAGUUAUGGCUGUAAAAAAGGAAUCAACAAUAAAACAGCUUUGUGCCUAUCCCCUCUGGUACCAACCUUCCUGGGGCUGGAGGCUAGGAGGGGGAUCUGGCCGUCUGGUUGGGGUCUGGGGUGGUAGGUUGCUGUGCUCAGCGUUGGGCGGGGGAGCCUGCUAAUCAGCACCCCAGCAGAAAGGGUCAAACUCUGGUUGCCGGUGAUGGUUGUACCCAAUGUGCAGCAGUACCGGGACCAGAGUGAAUAGGGUGUGUAUGGGGAGCAUGAGUGGGUGUCCGGCGUGCAUUUUUGUAAGUCUUGGGUUGUAUGUGUAUGUGUGAGCAUGAGGGAGGGAGUGUGCGACUGUGUUUGUGUAUGACUGUAUAUGUCAGGUGGGGCCUUUGAGUCCUCCCCUCUCCUGGAACUUCUCUUGAUGAUAUAGAUCUUUGUCCCCCCUCCCCCGCCACACCUGGUGUGAGGGGUUGUGCCAUGGUCUGCCUGAGUGUUCGUGGCAACCGGGUCUGGGGGUUUAAGAUUUUGGCAUCUGCCUGAUAGAUCCCGGUGGCUGCCUGGUGGGGUCUGGGUCCCUGGGCUCUGCUGGGUCCCCGGCAGGGGUGGUCGCCCCUGGGUCCCGGAUUGCUGGGUCCCGGGCUCGGCCGGCUAGGGGGUGGGAGGCUGCGGGCGGGCCUGUGGGCUUGCCGCUGAUAUCUCCCGGGACUCUGCCGGCUGCUGGUUGUGGCCCCCCGGGGCGAUCCUCUGUGUCUCUCGAGGGGGGCGGGGGCCUUCCUGGUUGCAGUCUCCUUGGGUUCCUGCGUUCUGGGGCAGCGCCUGGAUCUCUGGGACUUGGAGCUCCCCCCGUCUCCUACGCAUCUUGGGGGGGCGGAUCUGUGGUCCCUCACACUCUCUGUUGGACGCUCCUAUAGAGAAACCUUACAUAAACAAGCGCGUGGACACACACAGGUGCUCACGUGGUGCUCUCAAAAGUAUGGGCUUGGGCACGUUAAACACAGGUCUUAAGACUAUGGUGGGCACUUAAUGCACUGUGAUUUAUUAUUGUGAUUCUUCAGUUAAGCAAUGUUGAUUAUAUAUUUUUUCAUCAAGUUGACGCAGUGAUAGCUAGAUCUUGUUGUAUUGUUGUUGUGUCCUUUUUUUUGUCCUUUUGCUUUUUUUUUGUCUUUUUCUGCAGGUCUAGAAGCAGACUCUUGUUCAUUGUUUAUUUUUGUGCUCCCCCCCCCCCCACCUUUUCUUUUCCUUUCUCUUUCACCUCUGUCUCCGUGUCUGGUCGGAAUUACAAUGCAUUCAACAACAAUAACAAUAAAGUUUUAAGUAUCAGGCGUGACAUUAAAAGCAAACGCUUUGAUGCUCCACCUGAGAGUAAAUCUGUAAGGCUUGUCACCAGCAUUCAGACAUCAAUUCCGCUUGCUUCACAGCCAGACAGGACACGGUAAAAAAAAAAAAAAAAAGGAACAGCGACAAAGUCGCUGAGUUGGCACUACCUCACUCUCUGCUGCUAAAGCUACUGAUAGCAAAUGCUACGGGCUAUGCCUGAGCGUGAACACGCAUGAAGCAGCUUGCUUUACAGAAAAACAGGCAAUCACAGUAAAAAUGCCAGGGCUCAUUCUACAGGACCAGGGCAUUGCAGGAGAAUGUAUGAAGAAGAAAUUUAUUAUUUCUACACAUGUUUUGACUGUCAAACUUCCAUAAUGCCCCUUUAACACAACACUAGAUGGAAACAAAUCUGGUGACACUAGGGCUGAACGGUCUAUCGUAUCAAAUUGCGAUGUCACAAAAGGAGAUUUUCUAAUCGCAAAGGCUGGCAUUUGACUGGCAGCGGGUAGUUAACACAAUGAUAAUUUACAUGGAAAAACCCAUAGGGAUGCUAAUGUUAUUUCAGUUCAAUUCAAUUCAAAGAUACUUUAUUAAUCCCAGAGGGAAAUUAGAGUUUCAGUACACACAAUUCUGAGAUCAGACAUACAUAGGCAAUUGUGGUUUACAUUCUUACAAAUUACGAAUUAGGAACGUAAAAACUGCCAUUAAUCAAAUAAGUACAGACAGAUGUUUUAGUAAAGCUAGAAGAAAACCGUAAGGGACUUUAACUCCACUGAGUUUUGGCUAGCAGCUAUAGAUAUAACCGAACUACGGAAGCUCUGCAUGGUCAAGACAUCAAAAACUCAAAAAAUACAAAAGACUUAAGUAAACGGGACACACUUCUAUCUUGUUAAUACAUUUUCACAGUUGAUGCCAACACCUGUGCUCCUUCACGGGAUGUUCUCCUGGCUGCAAAGCAUCGCACCGUCAAAUACAAAAUUUUGUCUUUACUUGUGUUUAUGUAGACAGAUAAACUUGUUGAUAUGAUAUGUAGAUAAAUAUGUAGAUACUUAAACUUGUUUAUACUCAGUACAAGUUACAUAGGUUUUUUUUUUACUUCAGUUGGUUGAAAAAUAUGAGAAAAGCCCCUUGAGAAAUAAUUGGGAAUUAAAUCGCAAUUGCAAUAUUGGGGAAAGAAAAUCUCAGAUUUUUUUCUAGAAUCGUUACGCUGUAAUCCUCAUGCAUUAUGACAGUACUAGGACCAAUCAAAGCAACAAAUGGCAAUUGGUCAUCGGGGCAGUCCAACAUGCACCAUCAAAGGAGGAAAAGAACGCACAUCAUUUUUCAAAAUUAAAGGUGAACGACUGGAAAAGGGCAGCUUGCCAACUCUGGAUCGGGAGAGAGGCCCUGCCUCAAGUGGAGGAGUUCAAGUAUCUCGUGGUCUUGUUCAUGAGUGAGGGAAGGAGGGAGCGGGAGAUUGACAGGCGGAUUGGGGCAAUGUCUGCAGAGAUGCGGACACAAAACCAGUCUGUUGUGGUGAAGAAGGAGCUGAGCCGGUAAGCAAGGCUUUCGAUCUACCGCCCAGUCCUCACCUAUGGUCACGAGCUCUGGGUAAUGACCGAAAGAACAAGAUUGUGGAUACGAGCAGCCAAAAUGAGUUCUCUACAUGGGGAGGCUGGGCUCAGCCUGAGGGAUAGGGUGACGAGCUCGGACAUUCGGGAGAGACUCGGAGUAGAGCCGCUGCUCCUCCAUAUCAAGAGGAGUCAGCUGAGGUGGUUUGAGCAUCUUGUUAGGAUGCCUCCUCAGGGAGGUGUUUCAGGCAUGUCCUUUCGGCAGGAGGCCCCCUGGUCGACCCAGGACACGUUGGAGAAAGUAUAUCUCAGAACUGGCCCAGGAACGUCUUUGGGUCCUGCCGAAGGAGCUGAUGAAGGUGGCCGGGGAGAGGACGGUCUGGAACUCCUUAGUUGGGAUGCUGCCCCCGCGACCCGGACCCAGAUAGGCGGAAGAAGACGAGACGAGGUGAACUAUGUACGAAUUGGACAGUAAAAUAAUCACAAAACAGUCCAGUGUGUCUUUCACAUUGAGGAAAGGUUACAAUGACAAGAUCUCCUUUUCAGCUGGCUGGGGGAAUGCCAGGUUUUCUGUUUUCAAAAAAGGCCGGGUCGUGAUGGCCUUUCCAUUCCUCUCAUUUGUCCCGGUCCCAGAGCCAAUCAUAUUUGAGCCUGGUGGGUUGCCACAUCUUAGACACCACCACAGUGUUGCAUUUGUUAUUCGCCUCCAGACUCCACCAGCAGCUAAUCUCCAGCCAUGAGGAGCCUUUUUCCUCCUGGUUAGUUGAAACAGUGUUGUGGAGAGAACUGCAGCCAGCACACAGAGCAGUACAGAAUGAUUUUCUUGCAACCAUAAGAAGCCUCCAUCCUUCCCAAAGACUGAGGAGCAACAAGAGGAAUAAAACGAAGCUAAACGAGUUAUUUUCAAAGAUGGAGAUGUUUGGACCAAAUCAAUUUCAGGAGGGAUGCAGAGUUCUCCUAGACAGGUAAGAUCUAGUAUUUGUUGCUUGACCAAACAAAAACAGCAGCAGAUGGCAUUGUGUGACCCACAAAGCUAAAAGCUAACUUGCAUCACCACUAACGGUGGUUAGUUAGUAUUUUUUACUUUUCGUGAGUGUAUGUGCUCACGUUUUGUGUUUAUUUUGUUACAGAAUGUCUGCUGACAUGUGAGGAGUGUUCAAAUACUCAGUAUCUAUAACCUCCGAGCGCCCUGGUAUCAGCCCCACUGUUGGCGGCCUUCACGGCCCACAGCACCGGGACUGAGGCUCGGUCGAGCGCCUCGACGCCGCUCAGCACCCCAGAGAAUGCUGCCCUGCUGUUAUGAGUAAGGAGAGGUUUCUGGGUGGUGUUAAGAUGGAAAGCGCUUCUAAUUAUGGUGUUUCGUCUAAAUGACGGCGAAGGAGCUUUGGAGCCUUUAGAUGACCUGAUGAUCCUAGGAGGAGGUUUGCAUCACCAAUAGGACUUCAGCAAAGCCAGUUCACAAGAGGCCAAUAAUUCCAGACAAAAUAAAGACUCCACCCAUCCUCUUCUGGUUGAUGGGUAAUCGUGUCAGGGAAGUAGUCGUCCAUCGACAGACCAGACUUCCUUCAUCGUGGGAACUACUGCCAGCUUCUAUGAGGGAAUCUUGUGGUCUCCAGGCCAUCAUGGAAAUUUAAUUCCUCAUUUGGCUCCUCACAGUACAAAUUAGCAAAAUACGGACUUCUCAUCUCAUUUAGUUUUACUUUUCAUCGUUUUAUCAUACACAGUUGCUUUUGCAAUUACAGUAGGUUUUAUUUUUGUUGUGAUUCCCCAAGUGAAAUCCUUCCUUCUUUAUUCGUUAUAUAAUAACCAUGUUCUGAUGUAAAACGUACAGGUUUAUAUAUUUAUCAGGUCUGUGAUUCUAAUGUUGCCCUAUUUUUCU